UACGUAGGUGGCAAGCGUUAUCCGGAAUUAUUGGGCGUAAAGCGCGCGCAGGCGGUUUCUUAAGUCUGAUGUGAAAGCCCACGGCUCAACCGUGGAGGGUCAUUGGAAACUGGGGAACUUGAGUGCAGAAGAGAAAAGCGGAAUUCCACGUGUAGCGGUGAAAUGCGUAGAGAUGUGGAGGAACACCAGUGGCGAAGGCGGC
rnacentral:rRNA from 1 species